UGUUUAUAUUCAGUAGCUAUCCCACUUCAUCUCGAAGUAGAUCUUUUAAAAUCAUGAUUAUAGACUAAUUCAUGAGGAUCAUAUAGGUAAACAUAUUUUUAAAAGAAAUUUUGUCAAGCAAGGAAAAUUUAUUCUGUAUCAAUAUAUAAAGAUUCCCUUUUCUUUGGUAAAGCAUUGGAACUAUGAUUCUUGUGAUGUCAAAUGGCAAUACAUAUAAUUCCCCAGUGCUUGUUGUUUUAUUUUUCACGUUUUAUGAAGCGCCCACAGGAAGUGGUUGAAAGCAUUAACAAGGAUGUCUACCUUUCAUCCUUACAUCGACAGGUUGUGCAAAACAAAUCCUUACACGAACGAGAAGUGCUUCUUCCAUUUACGGCGGAGUGUUUAUGGUAAUAUUUACACUGUUGUCGGAUUCCCGUGGUCAUUUGAUAUGACCAGCCGGUGUCUGAAUUGACAACUCGAGUUGCUUUGGUGGUUACCUGGGCUAAUUGGCGAUAUAGGAGGAGUUUUGACUUCAACAGUUGAAAUUUAUUCAGUAUUUGCAUAAUUUUCUGUGCUGGAUGGGAUCAAGAUUUAAUGAACUUCAUGUUGAAGUUUUGAUUCCUUGUGUAUUUGAUGAAAAUAAAACCGCUGUUGGAAUUUUGAUGUAUAUAUAAUGGUAAGUGAGAUGUGUAUCUGUAUAUUCAUGUGUAAUCUUAAUUAAUAAUUGUUUAAUCAGGGUUAUUUUGAAUUCAGUUUUAUUUUAUAAUUAAUAUUGAAAGUUAAAAUAGUAUAAUUAUAUGUAAUAAUAUAUGCCACAUUUAAUAUUUAAACGGUUAAGUGAUAAACUAUGAAGUGUUUACCACGCUCUGUGGUCUGUAUAUAGCUCUGUAGCUCCGUAUACAGGGCUAUUUGAUUUAUACGCACAGAUAGCUAUGAUAGACAAAUUAGUGAUGCAAUGGUGUGUAAAAAUAAUGUCCAAUUAGGUCAGGGGUUGCCAUGAUUAUGCCCAGCUUUAUAAUGAACUGAUGUUACAUGUUAGAGAACUAGGAAAUGAUAGAGA